rnacentral:tRNA from 1 species
CGGCGUGUGGUUCACAGGGAAUAGCAGACCGGUUCGGCUCAAACCCGAACAGCCUUGGGAGUGCAAGUCUCCCCACGCCGACCA